AACUGUCAAAAGCAAUGGUUUCAGUUAGAUUUAGUUAUGUGAAAGAAAUUCAACCUUGGUAUUUUAUUUUGCUGUGGUUUAUAAUAAGAAUGUCAUCUAAUUCAAUAUACUACAUACAUGACUACAAACUUCUUGAGUCCAGAAUAUGUUACCUAAGUCACUAGGCAUCCUAUUUAAUUCAGCUAAUGUUUUUUUUUCCCCCACAGCCACACUUUUUUGGUGAAGGAAUAGAAUAUAUUGGUUUACAUUCUGUGCUUUAGAUAGGCACUUAAGAGUUUACUGAUCUAAUUUAUGGAUAUCAGGAUGGUAUUAUAAAAAAAAAAAAAUCAGACUUAGCAAUUGCACUCUAAAUUCAACUUAACAAACACGUCUUAUGUGCCUAGUUAACUCUAGGAGCUAAGGACAAAUCUUAAAAGAUAAAGCACCUUUAAGGGUUCACAUCCAGGUGCUUGAAUAAAUCUGACAUAUAUAUGUUUUUUGUUUUUGUUCUUUUUACUUAUGACUCCCAAGUCACUUGAUAUACUAGUGACUACAAUUUCUCUGAAAACCAAGCUCUCUUUCCCAAGCUUCCUCAUGUUGUGCAAAAUUAUUUUUCUCCUUGGCCCUAAAAAAUACAUGGUUCAACUACAGCCUAUAGCUGUGCUUCAGAACCCUUUCUUUAAACAAAAUCUUUAAGUAAAAGCCUAAAAUAUAAAAACAGAAAUGGUGCUACUCCUGUUAAAAUGGUAGUGGAAGGGGUGGUCUGGAGCCACCUAAUACCAUCAUGCUCUCUCACAGAUGCCCGGGAAGUCCUAGGAGUAGUCUGAAACCAUCUCAGCCAUAUGCUCCACCUAUAUUUCCAUGAACAAUGUAUUUGUAUGCACUUCUGCAUCUUGAUACCUAUAUUUUGGCUCCCCCUUCGAAUUGUAUUAUCCAAUUCAAGCAUCACUUUCCUACCAAACACAAUGUCAAGGAGUCUUUUUCAAAUUCAAAGAUAUUUACUGAACUAUGUUACAACAGCCAGGCUCUGUGUAUCUCUGUACCAUAUGCUACUGAAAUCAUUUACCUGUUAUAUGUGUCCCUUCUAGAAUGAGCUCCAGGAGGCGUAGACUCAUUCAUCUCUGAGUCUCCAAUGUCUAACCAAGUGCUCAACAUAGAAGGUGCCCACAAAAUUGCCAAAUAAAUGAAUUUAUGACUCUACCUAGAUCAUAUACACCUUUCUGAUUUCAUCUGUCUAGUGGCCUGAGAGAACAACUGAUCAUCUUUUUCCUAUUUGGGUAAAACAUGAACCAAGUCUGAAUGACAGUAUCUCAUGGGGCCAGAUCAUAGAAAUGUUGCUAAAAGAACAAGUAGCUGCAAAGAACACAAAGAAAAACAACAUAGGAAGUUACUGCACACAAGUUACCCACCAAGUUGAUUUUAUAAAAGGCCUAGAUAAAUACAAACUGGUAGGCAAAAUACUGAAAUGCACAUUUAUACAACAAUCAAGUACAUGUAUUUUUUAACUGGGACGGGAAUACUAUGAGCUAACCAUAGACAUCUAAAGUUGUCUAAAAAGAAGAAUAAAACUGCCUUGAACCGUAACCCUUGGAAACACUAACCUUAUUCGUGUUGCCUCGAGAAUGGUGUCCUCCAAACAAGUACAGCGCCCUGUCUGCAUACACAGCACAGCUUCCUGACAUGGAAGGAGGAACAUCACCUUCAGCGUUCAUUUUUUUCCUGAGGGGAAAGCAAUGUAAAUAAGCCUCCCAAAAGAGAAAUGCAAAAAUAUUUUUCUAUUUCUUCUACUUCUAUUCCCACAAUAAAGGGACUGACUAGAUCGUGUCUAGGGUCUCAUCUAGCUGUAAAACCAAUUCAAAGAAAGAGCUCUUUCCUCUUCAUUCUACAGCUUUGCCAGCUGGUCCUGCAGAGGCAGAAUGAGAGCUCCUAAAGCUGUCACAUUACUCCAGAUGCACACCAUUUUAGGUUUUUUAAACUAAAUUGUUUGCUUUUUAUUUA